GAAGGGUGCAAGCGUUACUCGGAAUUACUGGGCGUAAAGCGUGCGUAGGUGGUUCGUUAAGUCUGUCGUGAAAGCCCCGGGCUCAACCUGGGAAUGGCGAUGGAUACUGGCGGGCUAGAGUGCGGUAGAGGAGAGUGGAAUUCCCGGUGUAGCAGUGAAAUGCGUAGAGAUCGGGAGGAACAUCAGUUGCGAAGGCGGCUCUCUGGACCAGCACUGACACUGAGGCACGAAAGCGUGGGGAGCAAACAGGAUUAGAUACCCUGGUAGUCCACGCCCUAAACGAUGCGAACUGGACGUUGGGAGCAACUAGGCUCUCAGUGUCGAAGCUAACGCGUUAAGUUUGCCGCCUGGGGAGUACGGUCGCAAGACUG
rnacentral:rRNA from 1 species